GCAUUUGUGAGGAGGAGGUUCCAACUUCAAACGUUGAAGACCAUUCAAGAAUUUGUGCAAUUGCUGAUCGCUGUGACCAGAAGGGUCUAAGCGUGAAUGAACGUCUUGUUGGAAUUUCUGACACUCUUGAGAAGAUGAUGGAGUCCUUUACGCAGAAGGAUAUCCAACAUGCAGUAGGAAGCCCAGAUGUUGCCAAAGUAU
rnacentral:misc_RNA from 1 species